rnacentral:lncRNA from 1 species
GACAGUUUGUUUUUUUCUUUUUCUGUCUUUCUUUCUUUCCUUCAAUGUAUCAGAAGACCUGAAGCUCGCUGCCCGCGAGUUUCCUCCGAGUUCCCAGUUGCUGAGACAAAGGAAAACCCACUCCCUUGGAGGAGCAUGACCUUUUCCUGUAAUUCUUCCCACUGCUGUUGUUGAGCUCCUUGGACCAUGGCUCCUGGACACCAUCAUCAAGAAGACUUUAUGGAUGGGCUGUCCACCCACUGAGAGAAGAGGAGCAUCAGCUACAGUUUCUCUCUAGAUUGCCUUCUUCAUUUUGAGUAAUGACUGUCAGCAGGGUCAGAUUAAAGACAAAACAACUGGACAAUUGCUUGGAGGACUAAACUAUAAGGGCACUAACAUAUCAAUAGUAUGCUAACACAUCCAUGGAAAAUAUAUUUACCAGCUCUUCUCUCAGGGAGGAUUCUGUGUGGGGUUGGAAGUAAUGAUUUGUUAAAUUCCUUAGGGGUAGAAAGUAGGGCAUAAUCAGAAUAUAGAGGAAUAGGCUGUUUGACUUCAGGGUUUCUGUUUUUCUUACUAGGAUAUAUAAAACAGGGACUCUAGCUAGAUUGUUUAUGACCACAGAGGGUAGGCUGAGCGCUCUCAUGAUCUUCCUGCUUGGUUCUUGCCCAUACAGAGGUCAGCCUUUCCUCUAAUAAAGAUUGAACAAGUAGUGGUCUGAGGGAGACACCAACUCAUUACCCUACAUGUCUCUUCUCUGCACUCCAGGGCUUUGAUAAUAAAGACACUGGCAGACUAUCUAUCUUCCAUUUCUAUAAUGUGAGCCCUUAGGGAGUCUUCGUUCACUUGGGGGUGAGGGUCAUUGCUCACAGAGUAGUUCAAGUCAAAUGGAACUUGAACUCUUUGCCUAUGGGCCUGGUGGUCAGACUCUGUGUUGAGUUCAUUAGAUUAUUGGAGACACAAGGUAGAGCUGGAUGCUUCAAAAAUAUUUGGCUAAAGGAUGACAUUGCUGGUUAUUUGUAGAUAAAGCCAUGAUGGAACCUGCUUGGAAUCAUGAAAUAUGGAACUGGUGGUCAUGUUUAAAAAUACAACUAAUAGUUAAGUACCUACUGGACACUGUAGAGACUUAGGGGCUAGACAGACAUGGUUCCUGCCCCCAUGGAGCUUACACUGUAGCUUCCCCUUAGGUAUGAAGAACAGUGGCUACAACUAACAAAUGGCCACAAAGAUAUAAUUGAGCCAGUGUUCCAAUUAUUAGGGUAAUUCCUAUUUCCUUAAUCAUGCCUAUUGACCAUGUUCUAUAAGCCUGCAUUCUAUAAAUGGCCUAUGACCAUGGGCUGUUUCCCCCCAGCAAGUUGUACAAAGUUCUGUGGUACCAGGGAAAGGGCUUAAGGUUAGCAGGGCCUCUGGGGAAGGACAUAUGAAGUGACUUGGGUUAGGAAACAGGAAGGGAUAGGAUUCAAGAACAGCUAUUGCUUCUGUUCUAUAUAGGAAACUGCAGCGUGAAAAAUGCUGGGCUGGGAAUUUUGAGACCUGGGUUUUAGUUUGUGUUCUAAUACUAACAAGCUAUGUGACUGUGGUUAAGUCAUUUCACAUUCCAUUUGGAUGCCUCUUGAGUGACUCCAGGCCUCUCCAGCUCUAAAACAUUGAGAUCAGGCCCUACGCUACAGCUGGCCAGUGUGUAGUUCUUCUGUUUCUAUGCUGUUAGGUCAAAUAGAUCUUCAAUAGUUACUUGAUUGUUAUUACUUUUUUCUGAAGUGGGUGUUUUAUCAGUGUUUUAGGAUACAGUGAGUCUGCUUCUCCCCUUUGGAGUUAGGAAGGUUGUAGGAAUAUACACUGUAGAGCAUAUGGGAGCUUUAUCUCCUCCUUUUUCCCCCCCUACCUUUCUCCCUCUCCUUCCCUUCGUCACAUUUCUAUUGAGCAUAUGCCAUUGCCGUGUACCAGGUGUGUGCUAGGUUUGGAGAUACAAGGUAAACUUGAGACUUUCCCAGCCUCCAGGAGACAAAACCCUAAUUUCUUUCAUCUGCUGUCUUUCUCUUUGGAAAGAAUCAACGAUAUCCCAGGGGAAUGUGCCCAUGUCCCAGGGUAACCAACUACAGACAGAUGCCCCAUUCUACUCAAGCAACUUUUAGAGUGCCUUGAGAUACACAUCAGAUAAUUAUGCAGGGCCAGGCAUGGUGGUGCACACUUGUAAUCACAGCACUUUGGGAGGCCGAGGCAGCAGAUUGCUUGAGCCCAGGAAUUCAAGUGUAGCCUAGGGAACAUGGCAAAACCCCAGCUCUACAAAAAAAUACACAAAUUAGCUGCGUGUGGUGGCCUAUGACAGGAGGCUGAGAUGGGAGGAUUGCUUGAGCCUGUGAGGUCGAGGCUGCAGUGAGCCGAGAUCAUGCCAUUGCACUCCAGCCUGGGUGACAUAGGGAGACCCUGUCUUGAAAAAAAAAAAAAAAAAAGAUAAUUAUUCAGCCCUAGAGUCAUUGUGAAAAGAUCUAUCUUCAGAUAUAAGGAAGAAACAAUCUUUUAUUUCUUAGGAUAAAUCUGUAGAAGGACCUCCAGACAGUGAAGGCCACUGACUACUUUACACUCUGUAAGCCAUCCCUCCCUGGUAGGAAGGACUAUUUCCAAUCUUACAGAGUACCUCUCAGCAAAUAGACGUUUUCACAUAUACUGUGAUUCAUACAUCCCUAUGGCUGG